rnacentral:piRNA from 1 species
UAGAACUACCUUCUAAAUGUCCACUUGGGGA